rnacentral:rRNA from 1 species
UACAGAGGUCUCAAGCGUUGUUCGGAUUCAUUGGGCGUAAAGCGUGCGUAGGCGGUUCGUUAAGUUCGUUGUGAAAGCCCCGGGCUCAACCUGGGAACUGCAAUGGAAACUGGCGGGCUUGAGUGUGGCAGAGGGGGGUGGAAUUCCGCGUGUAGCAGUGAAAUGCGUAGAGAUGCGGAGGAACACCGAUGGCGAAGGCAGCCCCCUGGGCCAACACUGACGCUCAGGCACGAAAGCGUGGGGAGCAAACAGG